GACGGUUUGGCCGAGUGGUCUAAGGCUCCGAUUUAGGCUCUGGUCCGAAAGGCGUGGGUUUGAAUCCCACAGCCGUUA
rnacentral:tRNA from 1 species